rnacentral:rRNA from 1 species
AUUGAACGCUGGCGGCAUGCUUUACACAUGCAAGUCGAACGGCAGCACGGGGGCAACCCUGGUGGCGAGUGGCGAACGGGUGAGUAAUAUAUCGGAACAUAUCCGGAAGUGGGGGAUAACGUAGCGAAAGUUACGCUAAUACCGCAUAUGCCCUGAGGGGGAAAGGAGGGGAUCGCAAGACCUUUCGCUUUCGGAGUGGCCGAUAUCGGAUUAGCUAGUAGGUGAGGUAAAGGCUCACCUAGGCGACGAUCCGUAGCUGGUCUGAGAGGACGACCAGCCACACUGGAACUGAGACACGGUCCAGACUCCUACGGGUGGCAG